AUUGAACGCUGGCGGCAGGCCUAACACAUGCAAGUCGAACGGUAGCACAGGAGAGCUUGCUCUCUGGGUGACGAGUGGCGGACGGGUGAGUAAGGCAUGGGGAGCUGCCCAAUCGAGGGGGAUACCAGCUGGAAACGGCUGCUAAUACCGCAUACGCCCUGAGGGGGAAAGGUGGGGACCUUCGGGCCUACCGCGAUUGGAUGCACCCAUGUGGGAUUAGCUAGUUGGUGAGGUAACGGCUCACCAAGGCGACGAUCUCUAGCUGGUCUGAGAGGAUGACCAGCCACACUGGAACUGAGACACGGUCCAGACUCCUACGGGAGGCAGCAGUGGGGAAGAUUGCACAAUGGGGGAAACCCUGAUGCAGCCAUGCCGCGUGUGUGAAGAAGGCCGUCGGGUUGUAAAGCACUUUCAGUGGGGAGGAAGGGGCGAUGCCUAAUACGCAUUGUCAUUGACGUUAUCCACAGAAGAAGCACCGGCUAACUCCGUGCCAGCCGCCGCCGUAA
rnacentral:rRNA from 1 species